rnacentral:rRNA from 1 species
AUUCCUACGGGAGGCAGCAGUGGGGAAUAUUGCGCAAUGGGGGAAACCCUGACGCAGCAACGCCGCGUGCGGGACGAAGGCUUUCGGGUUGUAAACCACUUUCAGCAUGGAAGAUAAUGACGGUACCUGCAGAAGAAGCCCCGGCUAACUACGUGCCAGCAGCCGCGGUAAUACGUAGGGGGCAAGCGUUAUCCGGAUUCAUUGGGCGUAAAGCGCGCGCAGGCGGGCCGCUAAGCGGGACCUCUAAUCUUGGGGCUCAACCUCCAGCCGGGUCCCGAACUGGCAGCCUCAGGUGCGGUAGGGGG